rnacentral:lncRNA from 1 species
ACAUUACAACUUGGAUAAUAACAUUGUGGUUUUCUAGGCCAAUAUGUGGCCAGCAUUUCUAUACGAGUCUGACACAGGUAUCCCCUGUGUAGAAAGGAACUCUUUUUGGUCCAGACCCCAGCUGUAUGGCCUUGUGCACUGAGUUUGGAAGAGUUUCCACUCAGGACAGAUUUUCUCAUCUGGAGGAAAGGAGUAACACCUACUCGGGGCCCCACAUCCUAAACCCCUGUAGUUUGUGAAGCUCGGUUGAAUCUGCAAAGCUUUCGCAUGGGGUUGUAAUCGCUCACACAGCACCGGAUGUUUUGAGACUUGAACACGUGGCACAGCGGAAGGGAAAGGCCUUUGCUUCUGCAUUUGGGACAAGGUUGGGUCACCUCUGACUCUUCUCCAGGCUCAGCCAGUUUCAAACAGGGGGUGUGCCACAGGCCUUGGAGCAGGCCCAGACGGCCUAAGGCAGAGGCUUUUCUGCUCCCCCUCCCCUUCCCCGGGGGUGGGAGGAGCCUCCUCUGAUUGGCUGCCAGCCCGAGGCAGCCGCUGGCUCUUUCCUGCUGCAUCCAGAGGAUGGGAAUCACACGCGGAGCACUCGGCCUGCCCUGAGUUGGGAGGGUCCAUACUCCCCCUCCUGGCUCUGACAAAGAGGCCGGGAGAACCUCUGGUCUGUUUCACUUCUCCGUUUCAGGGACCUCAGAGGCACGUAGCUGCCAGCCAGCCAUCAGGGAAGCACCAGAUAUCCUUUUCCAACUGGGAGCAUCACCUUGUAACAACAAUAAUAAUGGACAGAAUUGUCCCAGUGAUAUUAUUUCUAAUGGCUUUGAAUGGUUUAGAAUUGCCUUGGUUUCUAGAUCUUGAUGAGGAACAUCUGGAUUAACCUGAUAAAAUGACCAUGCAUGUCCUGGAAGGAACUCUGGAAAGAUUCCUGCACAAGAACACUUCAGACCAGCCCUGAACAGUCUUUGCAGAUAAUACCAAGACUGUCUUCUUCCAUGUUAUCAAAGUUGUGUCCUGGUCUACAAUCCAAGUUGCUGAUGAACAUAUUUGUUGCAUGGCAGAUGUUUUUCCCUUGUUGACUAAUCCUCUCCCCACUUUCUUAGAAUACUUAUAAAACCUGUAAUGCUCCACCCCUUCUGUUCCAACCUCCACACAUGUUUCUUUUCUCUCCCUAAAAGGAAAUAAAAUUUCUUAGCACACUGUGGCUCUGAUUUUU